GCAGUAGCCGCGGGAAUACAGAGGGUGCGAGCGUUAAUCGGAUUUACUGGGCGUAAAGCGUGCGUAGGCGGCUUCUUAAGUCGGAUGUGAAAUCCCUGAGCUUAACUUAGGAAUUGCAUUCGAUACUGGGAAGCUAGAGUAUGGGAGAGGAUGGUAGAAUUCCAGGUGUAGCGGUGAAAUGCGUAGAGAUCUGGAGGAAUACCGAUGGCGAAGGCAGCCAUCUGGCCUAAUACUGACGCUGAGGUACGAAAGCAUGGGGAGCAAACAGGAUUAGAUACCCGUGUAGUCCCUGUCUCUUAUAC
rnacentral:rRNA from 1 species